rnacentral:misc_RNA from 1 species
AAUCUGGGUCAACCCAUCAUGGGUGACAGGGUCUAUAUUUCCAACAAAUUUCAAGAUAUAUUCAACACAUCUAUGUGUGAGAAACUCACCUCAAAACUCUCAUUCAACUAAAAACUCUCAUUUACCAAUCAAUGAGUAUUAGUCUUAUUUCUGCGAUAUUGAAAUUGAUUUUAGACCGGCACAGUCUUAAAUAUAAAAUCCAAUCGGAACCCUAUAAGGAAAAAUGAAUUAAAAUAAUAAAAUAACAGCUACAAAUUAAUUUCGCAAAGACAAGAGGAAAGAGCUAUAAUGGAUAUUUUGCUCUUGUAUAUAUGAUUAUAUCACUUGUUUGCUAACGAUUGCUGGAAGAACCUAUGCAAUAAUGAAUUAAAUUCUGCUCAAGUUUCUCCAACAUACCCAGAAAAAGUAUACUUG